rnacentral:sRNA from 1 species
AAUGGAAAAGAGAAAACAUAGAAUCUACCGACGCCGGAGAGGCCAGCGCCGGUCGGAGGAGAGAACCGCCGGUGUUGGUUUGAAGAAAACUGUUUUCAAGUAUCGCCUCUGUUCGUUGUACAAUGUGAGUCACACAUAUAGUUAUCUAAUAGUAUAUAUAUAUAU